rnacentral:lncRNA from 1 species
AGGUGCUCCAAUAUUACCUCAAGGAUUACAGCCUGAACAACAGCUACAGUUGUGGAAUGAGAUAGAUGAUACUUGUUCGUCUUUUCUGUCCAUUGAUUCUCAGCCUCAGGCAUCCAACGCACUGGAGGAGCUUUGCUUUAUGAUUAUGGGAAUGCUACCAAAGCCUCAGGAACAAGAUGAAAAAGAUAAUACUAAAAGGGAAGAAUUCCAAAGUCCCUUUGCAAGUCAAAGUCGAGGAUAUUUUUUAUUCAGGCCACGGAAUGGAAGAAGGUCAGCAGGGUUC